ACUUUCUUCCGGUGAUUUCUUCCACCCCAGGCAAGCCACAAUACCCACUUGCAUGAUAGUCAUGCAGUAGCCAUGGUUUUCAACCUGAAUCUUUAUUAAAUGUUUGCUUGUUGAAAAGAUGGUUAUCGUUGUUCCGGUAAUGUUUAGAUUUGCAUGUUCACUUUUGUGCUAUGUUGUCUUGUACUCUGUUAUCAUGUUCUACCUGCUAGUAUUUCCUUUCAUAUGUUUAUGCUUGCUAGUAGUACAUGUUGAUGUUGGUGAUGGUCAUGCUAGUCAGUAUGCCAUGUUCAGUGGAUAUGAUUUAUUGUUGAUAUGGUGGAUAGUUAUGUGAUACCCUCAUGAUUAUGUUGAUAUCAUGUUCAUACAUUUUAUCAUGGCUCAGCAUAUUUGCAUUCAAGUUAAUCGGAUUAAAUUGAACUUGAACAACUGUUGGUUGAGUCAUGGUGCCGCUGAAACGAUGCUGACCAAUGCAACCACGCUUACCGGUACGGGACGGUCCUAACUAGGUCUAUUGUCGUGCCUCUCACCGGUGCCUCCAACGAGGGAAGGUUAUGGGCGCGCGCUACCCUGAUCAGGUAGGCGGACAUAAGCCUUGUGUGCCCGUUUUUGUUGUUAUGUGCACAUGUCCCUAUUUGGGACGGUUUAUUGUUUUGGGCCAUGACGAUGGUCGUUGAGGUGUCUUGAGGUAGACAAGGGGCCACCCAUGACUUAGCCCAGAGGGGAGUGAGUCGGAGUGGCCGGGAGAGUGUCAUGGCAGUAGAACGGUUUUGUCGGAACACCGUUGGUCCACCCUAAUGGGAGUGCGAGCCAUGGGUUCCGUAGUGUGGGUACAGUGUACUAACCUCUGCAGAGUGUAUAUAACAUCUAUCGAUAGCCGUGCCCGUGGAUAAGGGUCCAAGUCGAAAGUAGGGUACACCAUGAGUCAACAGUAAUAAGAAUAACUUGAUUAAUGACAACCCGUGGUUGUGAUCGCCGUACGGAUCAUGGGCCAAGUAUUGGUCGUGGUUGUGAUCGCCGUAAGGAUCAUGGUUUGAGACCAAGUAUUGGUCGUGGUUGUGAUCGGCGUAAGGAUCACGGUUUGAGACCAAGUGUUUGUCAUGGUUGUGAUCGCCGUAAGGAUCACCGUGGUAUCAAGGAUACCGAGUUUUUGGAUAUUCGUGAUGUUGUGCGACAAUCGAGGGUAAAGAUCAAGCUCCUUGUGGUCCUUUACUGAUUACUACGAUAUUGUUUAUACCAAGCUUGAUUUGAUCCUGAGAUGAUCGUGUGAUGUUCGAGGUUGGUAAGUGAUGCAUGUGUUGGUUACGAGGUAACCCGAGCAGAAUAAGUGGUGCAUAUAGUGUCAUCAUGUUGCAUGCUAGUAUUGUCGGAUUAAUAUGUUCAUGUUGUGUUAGCUGUAUCAUGCUUAUGUUGGUCAUGCCAUGUUAUUCUGAUGAUCUCAUGAUAAUUCCUGUUUAACCUGUAAUUGCCAUGUUGUUGUCUAUCUUGAAUGCUACUGGUUCUUGUGAGCUUGCAAGUAUAUUCAAUGUACUGACCUGGCUUGUCAUGCCAGUUUGCAGGUCAUGCCGGAUUUGAUUGCUUGCUUGUCGUGGUUUCCGAUCGUGCGAGCUAGGAUAAGCAUUCCUGCCAGAGUCCCUGCGGAGUGGAGUUCACCACCGUCGUCGUUGUUCCACUGCUAGAGUUAUUUUGCUGCUUCGAGUUGUUCUGCUGCUUGCAUAGAGCAACUGAGGAUGGCGUAGUGUCGCCGUACCGAUGUUAUUCAUUGUAAUAUCGGAGACCUUGUAUUCAUAUUCGUGUAACAAUAGAAAGCUGGUUUGUUCUAUGCUAAGUAGUGCCGUAUUCCAGAAGACUUCUCCUCGAUCUCUGGGCUGGAAUAUGGGGCGUUCUAGUUUGCUCUGAGUCGGGGAGCCACAGGCUUGGUAUCAGAGCAGGUCUGGCUAUAGGACUCCCUAGUCAGAGCGAGCCGUAGAAACCAGUAGAAAUCAAUAGUAUAGAGUCUUGCUUGUUGAUUUCAUUUGGUUGCUGCAUUUGUUUGUUGCAUAGCAUGCAUAUAGCAUUAUUAUUUGUUACUAACGGUUUAUCUGGUGAGUGUAGCUGUCAUCGGUUCGGAUCCACUACAGCUCAACCUUUGCAUUUCUCUAGUUCCUUUUUCCUUUGGUGUUUUGUGUCAUUUCUGUCCCAGCAGAGUGAUGCCAAGUGAUCUCGACACUGUUUGCAAAAAUGGUGCUUAGGCAUCACGUCGAUGUCUUUCUUUCAGUCCCCUCUGUCGUUUCGGUGAUGGACAUGCUUCUAUCCUGGAUCGUUCUUUUAUUUUGUCGUGUUGGCAACCCUUAAUGAUCUUAGUUAUCAAGAAAGGUGUGGGGACCGAUUCUCCGGGCAUUAAUUUCCCGAAAAUGGCCUUUGUGCUCACCAGCCCCAAGAUACCUGUUAGCUGAUGAGGCACCAACUUGAUACAGAAUUUCCAAGCAAGAUACAAAAUAUGUAGUACAAGACCAUUCUGGCCUAUGAGUACAACAAAUGGUUUCUAAUGGUUGAUGGCGGAAGCGGUUUGUGGAUCAUCAGUGUCUAUAGGACUCCAAUUCCCACAGGAACAGCUGACCAGGUUAACUCCUAUCUUCGUGAGGCUGCUAUCACCUUUGCUUAGGUUCCGGGACUGUCGCCACGGUCGCUCCUCUCCGCGCAAGAAAAUCUGGCCAAGACAAUAGCCAGGGACAAGCCAGUGAGUACUUUGAAUGUACUCGCAAACAUUUGUGAACACAGGUAUAAUAUAACAAUGAUGUGCUGAAAAUAUUUUAAGCUCAUGACGUCAGUCACAAAAGAUAAAUAAAACUCUGAUGCGUGCAAGCAUGUUAUUUAUGAAUAUGCAAUAACAUAGUAGUAUUAAAAUGAUGAAAAUAAAUAACAAGUAUGCCACAGUCGGGCAUCUUAGCGACACCACAUAAAGGGCUUUAAAAGAAAUGCCACAGUCGGGCGUCUUAGCGACACCACAUAAAGGGCUUUAAAAGAAAUGCCACAGUCGGGCGUCUUAGCGACACCACAUAAAGGGCUUUAAAAGAAAUGCCACAGUCGGGCGUCUUAGCGACACCACAUAAAGGGCUUUAAAAGAAAUGCCACAGUCAGGCAUCUUAGCGACACCGCAUAAAGGGCUUUAACAGAAAUGCCACAGUCGGGCGUCUUAGCGACACCGCAUAAAGGGCUUUAAAAGAAAUGCCACAGUCGGGCGUCUUAGCGACACCGCAUAAAGGGCUUUAAAAGAAACAAUCGUAGUGAAUAUCCCGGAGGUAGAACCAUCCCAGGGAUAUUCGAUAAUACCAAUAAUAUCACGGGUUAGUCCACAACAAAAUUAAUAAUCAUAAUUAUCACAAGUCACAAGUCAUGAUUCCAGUUUUGGUUUAACAGUUUCACCUCCGAAGACCGACACUAAGACCCACACUUGACCCAGCCCAGACUGUAAUUCUUAACCAUGGACACGGCUAUUCGAAUAGGAUUAAUCUCUGUAGAGGGUGUACUCUUUACCCACGAGUGACGGGUUCCUUUAGUCCAUCGGGACUAAUUCCGUCUACGGUCUUUUUAUUGGAAACACACCUAACUUGCACACACCAGCUUAACUCACAUGUGUAUGGAAUCACCCACGACACCUGUCAAGCAAAACUUUAAGUGGGGAGGCUACAACCUCGACGUAACAUGGGGUCACAAAAUUUUUACCACGCGCAAACUGGGGAGAGACCCCCUUCGGCUACAACCGAAACACCCAUGCUCCCGUACCUGGUGGCAUGACUACCGGAUGCCUCCAGUAUCUUCCACCAUGGCCUCUCUGUACGGUGUGUGCUAGGAAAGGGGUUGACAACUUACUCAACCAUACCCUACUUGUUGUAGAGACGAGUGGUAGUAUGAAGCAAGUAUGGGGAUUACUGGCACAAGACUCGAUCUACGGUCGACUCAGGAGGUUCAAAUAUUUCCUGCAAGAUUAGCAUAACAAUACAUAUACUUCAACCAACAGAUAGAAACAUCACGCGACAUACCCCCUCAUGCCAUACCGGAGACGACCGUCUCGACGGAGGACUAGGGACAAGACCGUGUCUACCCAAGAGAUAGGCCUUCCCGGCUUCCCUUCCGGUAUGCAUGAAAGGCAUAUGACGGUGAUUUCCAUCACAACCAUAUCAACUCCAUCAGCAUAAAAAUCAUUAAUAUGCACUCAUGAGUAGGAUCACAUCCUCACAUAAAAUGACGUAUGCUCGAGUCGGGGUGGUGUUGUCACCGAGUCAAACAACACAUACAAAAAGUACACCAGGGUUCAGAAUGCUUGCCUUCAGGUCAUGAGAAAGCAGGGUGCAUUCCAAAACAUCUUGAAAUCUUCAAAAUCCUAUUUUUUUUAAAAAUAUAUGAAUUAAAACACAAAAUCAAAACAGCACAAAAAGUUGUUUUGAAUUUUUUUUCAAAUAAAUCUUAAAAUAAACUAGACAAUAUUUGAGAGAUGUAGGAAAAAGAAUUAAUUUAUUUGGAGUUGUAUUUAAUAAGAUACAGCCGGUCAAAGUUUGGUCAAAAUCUGUUAUUUAAAUUAAAACAGAAAAGAAAACGUUUCGAAUAUUUACGUACACGUCGAAGGCGUAUUUUGCAAAUGCGCUUCUACUUAACCCACGUGGACUAGGGCAGGGUCACUGACAGUGGGUCCAGGGGGCCCACUGGUCAGGUUUGACCAGUCCAUCCCUCCUUCCCGGCGAAUGGCUGCUCCCCGCGGGCUCUAGAGAGUCGAGAUGGAUCCGCAAGACCGGGGCGGUCCUCCCGGUGGUCGUUGGGUCGGCGGGGGUGGAGGGAGUCGCCGACGGUGAGCUUCGCGGCGGAGGAGGCCUCGGGAGCAAAGUGCUUUUGUGGCUGUGGUGGUUCCCGAUCAAAAUCGAGUUGGGGAAAGGGUUCACGGGAGGAAGAGAUGGCUCCUGGUGGAGAGAGUGGGGAGGGGGAGGUCCUAGUGGUGCCGGAAUGGCCGGGGCGGUGGCGGCUGCAGGAGUUGCCGGAGACGGGGAAGAAAACCUCCCCGCGUCGAUUGCGAGCUAGGGAAGCACCAUUGAGGUGGCUUGAGGUUGCCUGUGUGUGGGAACGGGCUCAAGGCUCCCUUAAAUAGGCGAGUCGAGGCGGUUCAGCGUGGCCGUGGAUGAGCUCGUCGGCGACCGACGUUCUGUAGCUGCAGGGCAUCGUGGCGAGGCUGGGGAUGGCGGCAGGAGCUAGCGGACGAGCGGCUACUGCUCCAAGGGCGAGUUGGCGAGCGGAGGUGGUUUGGGUGGCGCUGGCCAGCGCAGGAGCUGUCGGGCGGCAGUGGCGGCUAGCUGCUGGCCUGUCGGAGAUGUGGCGGGAGCUGCGGGGCUCGUGGGUUGCAGAAGGGGACAAGGCGUGCUGGCUGCGGUCGGUCACGGACCGGAGUGAGUGCGGGGCGGGACGCAGCGGCUCGGGCGCACGUGCGUGCCAAACGCACGCUCUAGGCGCGCCCAAAGCAUGCCCGGGACGUGCUCGAUGAAAUGCCAGGGUAGCCUAGAGGUCGCGGUUGAGGUUGAUAAGAAACAUGUCUAGUCUAGGGUUAGCAAGGGAAUCAAGGGACAAGGUGGAUAGGUCAGGGGCUCAAGUUCACGAUGUAAACUUGAAAUCAUGCCAAAUCUGGUUAUGCACUCAGGGUGUUUGUCAAAAUGCCAAGGGCAUCCAGGCAGUACUUGGGGUGGCCAAAUCUUCCAGAUCAGUGUCUCUAUGGAUGAAUGAGAGGGUGGUGAAGUUAGUUUGCCAAAAGGAGAAACUUUCUAGUGCAAGUUUUGCAAAACUACAAUUCUGGACAGGGAGUAAAUGGCAUCAUUACAUGGACCAACAGUAUUCCAAAGAGUGCAUGCUCCUGGACUUAGGGGUUUUGCAGGGUUGACUACAAGCAGAUGAAAGCACAAGGUCACUAGAGCAAGAAUGAAUGGGGUUGCAGUACAAAACACAAGUCUGGUCCAGAAUGAAAAAGAGGUUGGUUCACUCAAUUUUUCCAAAGAACAACACUAUGUUUUUGCAUAAAGUUGGAUGGCAUGCUACCACUGACAUCCCAUAAUUUUGGUGGAGGCUCUAGGGAAAUAUUUAGUUAGGCUAUAGUGCAAAAGUGCCCAUUGGACCAGAUUUGAAAAACAGGUGUAAAACUCAAAAUAUGCAAUGAAACAAUCAUAUUAUUGCACAAAAGUGAUUUAAAGACAUCACAUGACAUCUCCAAAUUUUGGUUGGAAUUUAAGUUAAAUUUAUCAAAUGGUUGCAGUACGAAAAGAGCUCCAAAACUUAAAGAAAGUUAUUUUAAUGAAUAAAGCUCAAGGUGAAAUAAUUUAAUAAAUAAUUCUACUGAUAAGAAAAUGUUAUACAGAGAGCAUAGAAGUCCAAUAUAUUUUGGAAAGCUCCACUUGGGAAAAACUCCUUAAUAUGGAAAGGAAGGUUCUGAAAUCAACAGAAAUAAAAAAUUUAAAACUCCUGGCAAAUUUUAUUAUUUAAAACUUGGUUAAACUUUUGGGGUGUUACAAUUACUACCCCCCUUAAGAAAAAUCUCGUCCUCGAGAUUUGCUAAGGGUUGCUAAACAAAAUACUUUUACUUGGUCAAAAGAUCAUUUUACUAAAGCGGAAAAAAGUGGCUACAGUGAGAGGGCAAUAAGUGGUGAGUAACUAUAGUGUGGAAUACUGGCGUUGUGGGAAGAAGUUCCACGUUUAGGAAAACGAGCGAUUUCUACGCUGGACGCAGUAAAUUUGGAAUAAAUUCUAAAUUCUACAAUACGCUGGUCGUACCCGAGAGCACAGUGCUCCCUCUGGCUGACAGGUGGGACCAGGGCCCACUGUCAGUCUCUCCUUCUUCCUCUGGCUCUCUCUUCUUCCUCUCUCCCGCACGCUUUCUCGGCUUUCUCCACCGGUGACGUUUAGCGCGUAGGGCAUCUAGGACGUACUGCGGUAGUGCGCGGCGUGCUUGCUGCCGGUGCAGUGUGCACUCACCUCGCGGGCCAGUGCGCUGUCGGCACUACUUGCGGAUUCGCCUCCGAACACCGGCGAUCGGGCGACGAGCGGCGCUGGUGGACUUCGCCCACCAUACACUGAUCCCGAGCUAUAAAAUGACCGCGGUGCUCCUUCUUGAUCUUCGCACUUGGCCUCGUUUCUCCUCCUCCUUCUCCUCCAUUACUGCUUACCGGAGCUCGAGACGAGGCUCCAAUGGCGGAGACGGUGCCGGACUGGAAUGUGAUCCUGGUGUGUGGUGGGCUGGCGGCAGUGCUGGGGCUCUCUGUGCUCCUGGGCGCGAUGAUCUUUGAUGAUCGCUGUGAUGCUGCCGCUCGGGUGCUGGCUCUCCGCGGUGGCGGUGAUCACGGGGAUUAGGCGUAAUUCGGUUAUUCACCGUUAUCGGUGUGCUGAAGGUGAUUAGUAUCCGGAUGAUUAUCCGCUAAUCUCUCCCUUGGAGGCAUGUGGAGUACUUAGAGGGGUGGUUGGUGAGAUGCAACAUGGUUGCAUGUAUUUGCAAGCAGUGUAAGAGUCCGAGUGGUUAUGGGUCUGCUGCCGUGGUGCUGCGUGAAUAAAAAUAAUCCAUGCAGUGAGGAAAUAAAUGAUGCAGCAACUCAGGGAAAAGAAAUCUCAUUCCAGGAUUUUCGCGGUUACACAGGUUACUCACGAAGAAAAACACUCAUAUAAGUAGAAACUAAAUAUUCGACUCGCCACACAAAUUCGAGGUACCAUGCAUAAGUUACAACGUAAUAAUAAAUGCUGAAAUAACACACACAGCAGUGACGUCUAAAAUGAGAAUGGUAACUGGACAGGGUCUCGAGAAAAAGUCUCUGGCAAUGGAAUACACUCCUCUUCUAUCAGAGGAAGUGGAUUGAUCAGUCGAUGUAUGCAUCUCUCCGGGUCGGGCCUCAGUGGUCUGCCGAUGGCAAUCUGAGGAUUCAGAUCAGUGAGACUCUGGAGAUAAUUCAUCACUCGCUGGUUCAAAUGCUCUUGAGUGAUGAUGUAUUGGAUAAGGUUGGCUAGCCCUGGGUCUCUCUCAAUCCGUCCACCGGGAAAAGAUGUUACUCCUCCGGGCAUUGCACGACUCAGAAAGUAAUAAUAUCCUCGUUCGCGGGCAUAGGGUACUGCAGAUCGAAGACGAGCAAUCGCUUCGUUCGCAGCAGCUUCUAUGGCCAAGCGUGGGGUCGGCAUAGAUUUCCCCACGAAGGAAACUUCCAUUGGAUCUUGGUUGGAGUCUACGGGAGGUAUGUGUACUGCUGCCUAACAUUCCGAGGUGGAAGGGGUGAUUCUCGAUUUCAACAGCUCGUACUGGGGUGGCUGGGUAGAACCCAUGGUACUGCAGGUAAAGUCCCACAAUAUUUUGACAAAGCUACCUGUUGGGGAACGUAGCAGAAAUUCAAAAUUUUCCUACGUGUCACCAAGAUCUAUCUAUGGAGAAACCAGCAACGAGGGGAAGGAGAGUGCAUCUACAUACCCUUGUAGAUCGCUAAGCGGAAGCGUUCAAGUGAACAGGGUUGAUGGAGUCAUACUCGUCGUGAUUCAGAUCACCGAUGAUCCUAGUGCCGAACGGACGGCACCUCCGCGUUCAAUACACGUACAGCUCGGCGAUGUCUCCCACGCCUUGAUCCAGCAAGGAGAGAGGGAGAGGUUGAGGAAGACUCCAUCCAGCAGCAGCACAACGGCGUGGUGGUGAUGGAGGAGCGUGGCAAUCCUGCAGGGCUUCGCCAAGCACCUACGGGAGAGGAGGAGGUGUCACGGGAGGGAGGGAGGCGCCAAGGGCUCAGGUAUGGAUGCCCUCCCUCCCCUCCACUAUAUAUAGGGGCAGGGGAGAGGGGGGAGGCGCAGCCUUGCCCCUUCCUCCAAGGAAUGGGUGCGGCUAAGAGGGGGGGAGGAGUCCAUCCUCCCCAAGGCACCUCGGAGGUGCGUUCCCCCUUUAGGACUCUCCCCUUUUUCCUAUAUCUUGGCGCAUGGGCCUCUAGGGGCUGGUGCCCUUGGCCCAUGUAGGCCAAGGCGCACCCCCUACAGCCCAUGUGGCCCCCCGGGGAAGGUGGCCCCACCCGGUGGGCCCCCAGGACCCUUCCUGUGGUCCCGGUACAAUACCGAUGACCCCGAAACUUGUCCCGAUGGCCGAAAUAGGACUUCCUAUAUAUAAAUCUUUACCUCCGGACCAUUCCGGAACUCCUCGUGACGUCCGGGAUCUCAUCCGGGACUCCGAACAACAUUCGGUAACCACAUACAAACUUCCUUUAUAACCCUAGCGUCAUCAAACCUUAAGUGUGUAGACCCUACGGGUUCGGGAGACAUGCAGACAUGACCGAGACGUUCUCCGGUCAAUAACCAACAGCGGGAUCUGGAUACCCAUGUUGGCUCCCACAUGUUCCACGAUGAUCUCAUCGGAUGAACCACGAUGUCAAGGACUCAAUCAAUCCCGUAUACAAUUCCCUUUGUCUAGCGGUAUGGUACUUGCCCGAGAUUCGAUCGUCGGUAUACCGAUACCUUGUUCAAUCUCGUUACCGGCAAGUCUCUUUACUCGUUCCGUAACACAUCAUCCCGUGAUCAACCCCUUGGUCACAUUGUGCACAUUAUGAUGAUGUCCUACCGAGUGGGCCCAGAGAUACCUCUCCGUUUACAUGGAGUGACAAAAUCCCAAUCUCGAUUUGUGCCAACCCAACAGACACUUUCAGAGAAAGCCGUAGUGUACCUUUAUAGCCACCCAGUUACGUUGUGACGUUUGGCACACCCAAAGCACUCCUACGGUAUCCGGGAGUUGCACAAUCUCAUGGUCUAAGGAAAUGAUACUUGACAUUAGAAAAGCUUUAGCAUACGAACUACAUGAUCUUGUGCUAGGCUUAGGAUUGGGUCUUGUCCAUCACAUCAUUCUCCUAAUGAUGUGAUCCCGUUAUCAACGACAUCCAAUGUCCAUGGUCAGGAAACCGUAACCAUCUAUUGAUUAACGAGCUAGUCAACUAGAGGCUUACUAGGGACAUGGUGUUGUCUAUGUAUCCACACAUGUAUCUGAGUUUCCUAUCAAUACAAUUCUAGCAUGGAUAAUAAACGAUUAUCAUGAACAAGGAAAUAUAAUAAUAAUCAAUUUAUUAUUGCCUCUAGGGCAUAUUUCCAACAGUCUCCCACUUGCACUAGAGUCAAUAAUCUAGUUCACAUCACCAUGUGAUUAACACUGACAGGUCACAUCACCAUGUGACCAACAUCCAAAGAGUCUUGGGUUUGAUCAUGUUGCUUGUGAGAGAGGUUUUUAGUCAACGGGUCUGAACCUUUCAGAUCCGUGUGUGCUUUACAAAUCUCUAUGUCAUCUCCUAGAUGUAGCUACCACGUUCUAUUUGGAGCUAUUCCAAAUAACUGUUCUACUUGGAGCUAUUCUAAAUUGUUGCUCCAUUAUACUUAUCCGGUAUCUCUACUCAGAGCUAUCCGGAUAGGUGUUAAGCUUGCAUCGACGUAACCCUUUAUGACGAACUCUUUUACCACCUCCAUAAUUGAAAAAAUUCCUUAGUCCACUAGUUACUAAGGAUAACUUUGACCGCUGUCCUGUGAUCCAUUCUUGGAUCACUCUUGUACCCCUUGACUGACUCAUGGUAAAGCACACUUCAGGUGCGGUACACAGCAUAGCAUUCUGUAGAGCCUAUGUCUUAAGCAUAGGGGACGACCUUCGUUCCUUUCUCUCUAUUCUUCCAUGGUCGAGCUUUAAGUCUUAACUUCAUACCUUACAACUCAGGCAAGAACUCCUUCUUUGACUGAUCCAUCUUGAACACCUUCAAGAUCACGUCAAGGCAUGUGCUCAUUUGAAAGUACUAUUAAGCGUUUUGAUCUAUCCUUAUAGAUCUUGAUGCUCAAUGUUCAAGUAGCUUAAUCCAGGUUUUCCAUUGAAAACACUUUCCAAAUAACCCUAUAUGCUUUCCAGAAAUUCUACGUCAUUUCUGAUCAUUAAUAUGUCAACAACAUAUACUCAUCAGAAAUUCUAUAGUGCUCCCACUCACUUCUUUGGAAAUACAAGUUUCUCAUAAACUUUGUAUACACCCAAAAUCUUUGAUCAUCUCAUCAAAGCAUACAUUCCAACUCCGAGAUGCUUACUCCAGUCCUUAGAAGGAUAGCUGGAGCUUUGCAUACUUAUUAGCAUCUUUCAGGAUUGACAAAACCUUCUGGUUGUAUCACAUACAACCUUUCCUUAAGAAAAUCGUCGAGGAAACAAUGUUUUGACAUCCUAUCUGCAAGAGUUCAUAAAUAAUGCAGUAAUCGCUAAUAUAAUUCCAACAGACUCUUAGCAUCGCUACGAGUGAGAAAGUCUCAUCGUAGUCAACUCCUUGAACUUGUCGAAAAACAUCUUAAUGACAAGUCGAGCUUUCUCAAUGGUGACACUUACCAUCAUUGUCUGUCUUCCUUUCAAAAUCCAUCUGCACUCAACAGCCUUACGACCAUCGAGUUGUUCUGCCAAAGUCUACACUUUGUUUUCAUACAUGGAUCCUAUCUUGGAUUUUAUGGCUUCUAACCAUUUUUCGGAAUUUGGGCCCACCAUCACUUCUCCAUGGCUCGUAGGUUCAUUGUUGUCUAGCAACAUGACCUUCAAGACAGGAUUACUGUACCACUCUGAAGUAGUACGUAUCCUUGUCACCCUACGAGGUUCGGUAGUGACUUGAUCCGAAACUUCAUGAUCACUAUCAUAAGCUUCCACUUCAAUUGGUGUAGGUGCCACAGGAACAACUUCCUGUGCCCUGCUACACACUUGUUGAAGUGACGGUUCAAUAACCUCAUCAAGUCUCCACCAUCCUCCCACUCAAUUCUUUCGAGAGAAACUUUUCCUCGAGAAAGGACCCGAUUCUAGAAACAAUCCCUUAUUGCUUUCGAAUCUGAGACAGGAGGUAUACCCAACUGUUUUGGGUGUCCUAUGAAGAUGCAUUUAUCCGCUUUGGGUUCGAGCUUAUCAGCCUGAAACAUUUCCACAUAAGCAUCGCAGCCCCAAACUUCUAAGAAAUGACAGCUUAGGUUUCUCUAAACCAUAGUUCAUACGGUGUCAUCUCAUCGGAAUUACGUGGUGCCCUAUUUAAAGUGAAUGUGGUUGUCUCUAAUGCCUAACCCAUAAACUAUCGUGGUAAUUCGAUAAGAGACAUCAUGGUAUGCAUCAUAUCCAAUAGGGUGCAGUUAUGAUGUUCGGAUACACCAUCACACUAUGGUGUUCCAGGCUGUAUUAGUUGUGAAACUAUUUCCACAAUGUCUUAAUUCUGUGCCAAACUCGUAAUUCAGAUAUUCAUCUCUAUGAUCAUAUCAUAGAUAUUUUAUCCUCUUGUCACGAUGAUCUUUCAACUUCACCCUGAAAUUACUUGAACCUUUCAAUAAUUCAGACUCAUGAUUCAUCAAGCAAAUGUACUCAACAUCCACUCAAAUUAUCUGUGAAGUAAGAACAUAACAAUAUCCACUACAUGCCUCAGCACUCAUUGGACUGUACACAUCAAAAUGUAUUACUUCCAACAAGUUGCUAUCUUGUUCCAUCUUACUGAAAACGAGGCUUUUCAGUCAUCUUGCCCGUGUGGUAGGAUUUGCAUGUCCCAAGUGAUUCAAAAUCAAGUGAGUCAAAACGGUCCAUUUGCAUGGAGUUUCUUCAUGCAUAUACACCAAUAGACAUGGUUCGCAUGUCUCAAACUUUUCAAAACGAGUGAGCCCAAAGAUCCAUCAAUAUGGAGCUUCUUCAUGCGUUUUAUACCGAUAUGACUUACGUGGCAGUGCCACAAGUAGGUGGUGCUAUCAUUACUAUCUUUUGGCAUGAACAUGUGUAUCACUACGAUCGAGAUUUAAUAAACCAUACAUUUUAGGUGUAAGGCCAUUGAAGGUAUUAUUCAAAUAAACAGAGUAACCAUUAUUCUCCUUAAAUGAAUAACCGUAUUGCGAUAGACGUAAUCCAAUCAUGUCUAUGCUCAACGCAAACACCAAAUAACAAUUAUUUAGGUUUAACACCAAUCUCUUUGGUAGAGGGAGCGUGCGAUGCUUGAUCAUAUCAAGCUUGGAAAAACUUCCAACACAUAUCGUCAGCUCACCUUUAGCUAGUCUCCGCUUAUUCCGUAGCCUUUUGUUUCGAGUUACUAACACUUAGCAACCGAACCGGUAUCUAAUACCCUGGUGCUACUAGGAGUACUAGCAAAGUACACAUUAACACAAUGUAUAUCCAAUAUACUUCUAUCGACCUUGCCAGCCUUCUUAUCUACCAAGUAUCUAGGGUAAUUCUGCUCUAGUGGUUGUUCCCCUUAUUACAGAAGCACUUAGUCUCGGGUUUGGGUUUUACCUUGGGUUUCUUCACUAGAGCAGCAGCUGAUUUGCCGUUUCAUGAAGUAUCCCUUCUUGCCAUUGCCCUUCUUGAAACUAGUGGUUUCACCAACCAUCAACAAUUGAUGCUCCUUCUUGAUUUCUACUUUCGCAGUGUCAAACAUCGUGAAUACCUCAAGGAUCAUCAUAUCUAUCCCUGAUAUGUUAUAGUUCAUUAUGAAGCUCUAGCAGCUUGGUGGUAAUGACUUCGGAGAAACAUCACUAUCUCAUCUGGAAGAUCAACUCCCACUCGAUUCAAGCGAUUGUUGUACUCAGACAAUCUGAGCACAAGCUCAACAAUUGAGCUUUUCUCCUUAGUUUGCAGGUUAAGAAAGUCAUCGGAGGUCUUGUACCUCUUGACAUGGGCACGAGCCUGAAAUCCCAAUUUCAGCCCUCAAAACAUCUCAUAUGUUUCGCGACGUUUCUAUAAAUGUCUUUGGUGCCUCAACUCUAAACCAUUUAACUGAACUAUCACGUAGUUAUCAAAACGUGUAUGUCAGAUGUUCGCAACAACCACAGACAACGUUCGAGGUUCAGCACACUGAGCGGUGCAUUAAGGACAUAAGCCUUCUAUGAAGCAAUGAGGACACUCCUCAGUUUAUGAACCUAGUACGCAUAAUUGCUACUAUCAACUUUCAACUAAUUUUUCUCUAGGAACAUAUCUAAACAGUAGAACUAUAGCGUGAGCUACAACAUAAUUUGCAAAAACCUUUUGACUAUGUUCAGGAUAAUUAAGUUCAUCUUAUGAACUCCCACUCAGAUAGACAUCCCUCUAGUCAUCUAAGUGAUUACAUGAUCCGAGUCAAACUAGGCCGUGUCCGAUCAUCACGUGAGAUGGACUAGUCAUCAUCGGUGAACAUCUUCAUGUUGAUCGUAUCUUCUAUAUGACUCAUGUUUGACCUUUCGGUCUCCGUGUUUCGAGGCCAUGUCUGUACAUGCUAGGCUCGUCAAGUUAACCCUAAGUGUUGCGCGUGUGUAAAUCUGUCUUACACCCGUUGUAUGUGAACGUUAGAAUCUAACACCCGAUCAUCACGUGGUGCUUCAAACAUGAACUGUCGCAACGGUGCACAGUUAGGGGAGAACACUUCUUGAGAUUGUUGUAAGGGAUCAUCUUAUUUACUACCGUCGUUCUAAGCAAAUAAGAUGUAUAAACAUGAUAAACAUCACAUGCAAUCAAAUAGUGACAUGAUAUGGCCAUCAUCACUUUGCUCCUUUUGAUCUCCAUCUUCGGGGCUCCAUGAUCAUCAUCGUCACCGGCAUGACACCAUGAUCUCCAUCAUCAUGAUCUCCAUCAUCGUGUCUUCAUGAAGUUGCCUCGCCAACUAUUACUUCUAUUACUAUGGCUAACGGUUAGCAAUAAAGUAAAGUAAUUACAUGACAUUUAAGUUGACACGCAGGUCACAAAUAAAUAAAGACAACUCCUAUGGCUCCUGCCGGUUGUCAUACUCAUCGACAUGCAAGUCGUGAUUCCUGUUACAAGAACAUGAUCAAUCUCAUACAUCACAUAUAUCAUUCAUCACAUCCUUUUUGGCCAUAUCACAUCACAUAGCAUACCCUGCAAAAACAAGUUAGACGUCCUCUAAUUGUUGUUUGCAUGUUUUACGUGGCUGCUAUGGGUUUCUAGCAAGAACGUUUCUUACCUACGCAUGAACCACAACCUGAUAUGCCAAUUGCUAUUUACCCUUCAUAAGGACCCUUUUCAUCGAAUCCGAUCCGACUAAAGUGGGAGAGACAGACACCCGCCAGCCACCUUAUGCAACUAGUGCAUGUUUGUCAGUGGAACCGGUCUCACGUAAGCGUACGUGUAAGGUUGGUCCGGGCCGCUUCAUCCCACGAUGCCGCCGAAUCAAGAUAAGACUAGUAACGGCAAGCAUAUUGAACAAUAUCGACGCCCACAACUACUUUGUGUUCUACUCGUGCAAAGAAUCUACGCAAUAGACCUAGCUCAUGAUGCCACUGUUGGGGAACGUAGCAGAAAUUCAAAAUUUUCCUACGUGUCACCAAGAUCUAUCUAUGGAGAAACCAGCAACGAGGGGAAGGAGAGUGCAUCUACAUACCCUUGUAGAUCGCUAAGCGGAAGCGUUCAAGUGAACAGGGUUGAUGGAGUCGUACUCGUCGUGAUUCAGAUCACCGAUGAUCCUAGUGCCGAACGGACGGCACCUCCGCGUUCAACACACGUACAGCUCGACGAUGUCUCCCACGCCUUGAUCCAGCAAGGAGAGAGGGAGAGGUUGAGGAAGACUCCAUCCAGCAGCAGCACAACGGCGUGGUGGUGAUGGAGGAGCGUGGCAAUCCUGCAGGGCUUCGCCAAGCACCUACGGGAGAGGAGGAGGUGUCACGGGAGGGAGGGAGGCGCCAAGGGCUCAGGUAUGGAUGCCCUCCCUCCCCUCCACUAUAUAUAGGGGCAGGGGAGAGGGGGGAGCCGCAGCCUUGCCCCUUCCUCCAAGGAAGGGGUGCGGCUAAGAGGGGGGGAGGAGUCCAUCCUCCCCAAGGCACCUCGGAGGUGCCUUCCCCCUUUAGGACUCUCCCCUUUUUCCUAUAUCUUGGCGCAUGGGCCUCUAGGGGCUGGUGCCCUUGGCCCAUGUAGGCCAAGGCGCACCCCCAACAGCCCAUGUGGCCCCCCGGGGCAGGUGGCCCCACCUGGUGGGCCCCCGGGACCCUUCCGGUGGUCCCAGUACAAUACCGAUGACCCCGAAACUUGUCUCGAUGGCCGAAACAGGACUUCCUAUAUAUAAAUCUUUACCUCCGGACCAUUCCGGAACUCCUCGUGACGUCCGGGAUCUCAUCCGGGACUCUGAACAACAUUCGGUAACCACAUACAAACUUCCUUUAUAACCCUAGCGUCAUCGAACCUUAAGUGUGUAGACCCUACGGGUUCGGGAGACAUGCAGACAUGACCGAGACGUUCUCCGGUCAAUAACCAACAGUGGGAUCUGGAUACCCAUGUUGGCUCCCACAUGUUCCACGAUGAUCUCAUCGGAUGAACCACGAUGUCAAGGACUCAAUCAAUCCCGUAUACAAUUCCCUUUGUCUAGCGGUAUGGUACUUGCCCGAGAUUCGAUCGUCGGUAUACCGAUACCUUGUUCAAUCUCGUUACCAGCAAGUCUCUUUACUCGUUCCAUAACACAUCAUCCCGUGAUCAACCCCUUGGUCACAUUGUGCACAUUAUGAUGAUGUCCUACCGAGUGGGCCCAGAGAUACCUCUCCGUUUACACGGAGUGACAAAAUCCCAAUCUCGAUUCGUCCCAACACAACAGACACUUUCAGAGAUACCCGUAGUGUACCUUUAUAGCCACCCAGUUACGUUGUGACGUUUGGCACACCCAAAGCACUCCUACGGUAUCCGGGAGUUGCACAAUCUCAUGGUCUAAGGAAAUGAUACUUGACAUUAGAAAAGCUUUAGCAUACGAACUACAUGAUCUUGUGCUAGGCUUAGGAUUGGGUCUUGUGCAUCACAUCAUUCUCCUAAUGAUGUGAUCCCGUUAUCAACAACAUCCAAUGUCCAUGGUCAGGAAACCGUAACCAUCUAUUGAUUAACGAGCUAGUCAACUAGAGGCUUACUAGGGACAUGGUGUUGUCUAUGUAUCCACACAUGUAUCUGAGUUUCCUAUCAAUACAAUUCUAGCAUGGAUAAUAAACGAUUAUCAUGAACAAGGAAAUAUAAUAAUAAUCAAUUUAUUAUUGCCUCUAGGGCAUAUUUCCAACACUACCUGGGGUUGCAUCUGGGGUUCUCCGAUAAAUACUAGGGCUCGGCAUGGCAAGAAAUGGUUGUGAGAGUGGUGCACGAGGUGAGGGUUGCUGGGUAAGGUCACAAGGUGGCCUUUCUUAUAUAGCAUCUGGGUUGGUUUAUUUACCGUGGUGAAAGGUAAUAAAUAUGCCAGAUCACCUCCAAAGGUCGGGGUCAGUGUCAGAGAUACACAUAUCUCAUAAAGAGACGUGUUAUUGUGGGUGUCAUCGGGGUUGGUUUUGGUAGUUGUGCCCGGAAAAUGUGCAACUAUGCGCUGACAAAACACGCAAGGCUACUAUUAAAACAGAGGCACAACGACAGGCUGCGUUAAUAUACAAGGUCGCACGAUUACAAGCGAGGAUACACUGAGACUGGAUACUACUAGUAUGGCUUAGUCUACCUCGUUUAUGUCUAAAUGGGCGUGCCUGGUGGAUGUCGAGGCUUCUCCACGUGUCUCACUAUCGGGAUUAGUCAGAGAUGGUGGAGGAACUGCAGGGUUGGGGUAGCGAUGAUGACCAUCGCGGGGAUUGUUGGCCACAAUUCCGUUGGAGUGUGCUCCCAAAAGGUGAUGAAGCACUUCUGGGGUCAUCAAAGUACCUUGGCCGCUGACUGGAGCUGACCUCAGGGCCUCGAUCGGGUGUCCGAACAGCACGACUGGGUUGUCGGUGCCGGGCUCGGCUUCCCUGCUUGUCGGGGCUCUGCGAACCAGCUCUCCUCGAGCUGCGAUCAGAUCAAUGGUGAUCUGGUCGAACAGUGCCUCUAGUGCACUUAGAGAGCGCACUAGGUGCAACAAUGCGGGUUCCGUCUCAUGAUCUCCGUUGGCAACUUGGGGUGGACUACCAUACCCUUCACGCUUGGGGUAGUAGUAGAACGAGCGACAGUUAAAUCUGGGCGACAACUGCCAGAGUUGAACUAUAGCCUCUCGAGCAGCUAGCUGGAUGGCUCGUGGCUCGAAGGAAGUUGUCCUUCCGAUGAACCUGUUGGGGUGUUCUGGCGACAGACCCCUACCAUAGAUGUGCACAGUGGCCCAGAAUUGGCGGUCCUCACCGCUCAUGGGACCUUGGUACACAACAUAUUCUCGGGCUCUUCUAACGCAUAGGCACGACGGGUGAGGUUUGCGAGUAUGGUCACGAAACCUCCAAGGUUGGUUGCUGUGGUCUCAUUGUGCACUAUGGGACCAGACAUUGUGGCUAGGUUGGGGAAGAGGCUGUGCUGUGCUGGGUUGAGGCUAGCGUGCCCUUUUUAUAGAAAAGGGAACGGAGUCUUCCUUCGCAUGCUUGCGAAUGAGACAUUUUUGCCAUCGGUCACUGGUGUGUCAUCGACAGGCUAGGCUGAUAGGUUGGGCACCGACUGCCAAAAGUGUCGGGAUCACAGUGUGGCUAUCUUGCACGGGAAGCUUGGCUGGGGUUUUGGUUAGGGUCUGGUAGGUUGGUUUGCCUAAGUUUUUCGACCUGGCUAAGAUAAGAUUAGCCAAUGGUCAGCCUGGCUCUGGUACCAAGCUUGUGGGGACCGAUUCUCCAUGCAUUAAUUUCCAUAAAAUGGCCCUUGUGCUCACUAGCCACAAGAUAACUGUUAGCUGAUGAGGCACCAACUUGAUACAUAAUUUCCAAGCAAGAUACAAAAUAUGUAGUACAAGACCAUUCUGGCGUGUGAGUACAACAAAUGGUUUCUAAUGGUUGAUGGCGGAAGCGAUUUGUGGAUCAUCAGUGUCUAUGGGACUCCAAUUCCCACAGGAACAGCUGACCAGGUUAACUCCUAUCUUCGCGAGGCUGCUAUCACCUUUGCUUAGGUUCUGGGACUGUCUCCACGGUCGCUCCUCUCCGCGCAAGAAAAUCUGGCCAAGACAAUAGCCAGGGACAAGCCAGUGAGUACUUUGAAUGUACUCGCAAACAUUUGUGAACACAGGUAUAAUAUAACAAUGAUGUGCUGAAAAUAUUUUAUGCUCAUGACGUCAGUCACAAAAGAUAAAUAAAACUCUGAUGCAUGCAAGCAUGUUAUUUAUGAAUAUGCAAUAACAUAGUAGUAUUAAAAUUAUGAAAAUAAAUAACAAGUAUGCCAUAGUCGUGCGUCUUAGCGACACCACAUAAAGGGCUUUAGAAGAAAUGCCACAGUCGGGCAUCUUAGCGACACCACAUAAAGGGCUUUAAAAGAAAUGCCACAGUCGGGCGUCUUAGCGACACCACAUAAAGGGCUUUAAAAGAAAUGCCACAGUCGGGUGUCUUAGCGACACCGCAUAAAGGGCNNNNNNNNNNNNNNNNNNNNNNNNNNNNNNNNNNNNNNNNNNNNNNNNNNNNNNNNNNNNNNNNNNNNNNNNNNNNNNNNNNNNNNNNNNNNNNNNNNNNNNNNNNNNNNNNNNNNNNNNNNNNNNNNNNNNNNNNNNNNNNNNNNNNNNNNNNNNNNNNNNNNNNNNNNNNNNNNNNNNNNNNNNNNNNNNNNNNNNNNNNNNNNNNNNNNNNNNNNNNNNNNNNNNNNNNNNNNNNNNNNNNNNNNNNNNNNNNNNNNNNNNNNNNNNNNNNNNNNNNNNNNNNNNNNNNNNNNNNNNNNNNNNNNNNNNNNNNNNNNNNNNNNNNNNNNNNNNNNNNNNNNNNNNNNNNNNNNNNNNNNNNNNNNNNNNNNNNNNNNNNNNNNNNNNNNNNNNNNNNNNNNNNNNNNGACACCACAUAAAGGGCUUUAAAAGAAAUGCCACAGUCGGGCGUCUUAGCGACACCACAUAAAGGGCUUUAAAAGAAAUGCCACAGUCGGGCGUCUUAGCGACACCGCAUAAAGGGCUUUAAAAGAAAUGCCACCGUCGGGCGUCUUAGCGACACCGCAUAAAUGGCUUUAAAAGAAAUGCCACAGUCGGGUGUCUUAGCGACAACACAUAAAGGGCUUUAAAAGAAACAACCAUAGUGAAUAUAUCAGAGGUAGAACCAUCCCAGGGAUAUUCGAUAAUACCAAUAAUAUCACAGGUUAGUCCAGAACAAAAUUAAUAUUCAUAAUUAUCACAAGUCACAAGUCGUGAUUCUAGUUUUGGUUUAACAGUUUCACCUCCGAAGACCGACAUUUGACCGACACUUGACCCAUCCCAGACUAUAAUCCUUAACCAUGGACACGGCUAUUCGAAUAGGUUUAAUCUCUGCAGAGGGUGUACUCUUUACCCACGAGUGACGGGUUCCUUUAGUCCAUCAGGACUAAUUCUGUCUACGGUCUUUUUGUUGGAAACACACCUAACUUGCACACACCAGCUUAACUCACAUGUGUCUGGAAUCACCCACGACACCUGUCAAGCAAAACUUUAAGUGGGGAGGCUACAACCUCGACGUAACAUGGGAUCACAAAAAUUUUACCGCGCGCAAACUUGGGAGGUACCCCCUUCGGCUACAACCGAAACACCAAUGCUCCCGGACCCGGUGGCAUGACUACCGGAUUCCUCCAGUAUCUUCCACCAUGGCCUCUCUGUACGGUGUGUGCUAGGACAGGGGUUGACAACUUACUGAACCGUACCCUACUUGUUGUAGAGACGAGUGGUAGUACGAAGCAAGUAUGGGGGUUACUGGCACAAGACUCAAUCUACUGUCGACUCAGGAGGUUCAAAUAUUUCCUGCAAGAUUAGCAUAACAAUACAUAUACUUCAACCAACAGAUAGAAACAUCACGCGACAUACCCCCUCAUGCCAUACCGGACACGACCGUCUCGACGGAGGACUAGGGACAAGACCGUGUCUACCCAAGACAGAGGCCUUCCCGGCUUCCCUUCCGGUAUGCAUGAAAGGCAUAUGACGGUGAUUUCCAUCACAACCAUAUCAACUCCAUCAGCAUAAAAAUCAUUAAUAUGCACUCAUGAGUAGGAUCACAUCCUCACAUAAAAUGACGUAUGCUCGAGUCGGUGUGGCGUUGUCACCGAGUCAAACAACACAUACAAAAAUUACACCAGGGUUCAGAAUGCUUGCCUUCAGGUCAUGAGAAAGCAGGGUGCAUUCCAAAACAUCUUGAAAUCUUCAAAAUCCUAUUUUAUAAAUAUAUAUAUAUGAAUUAACACACAAAAUCAAAACAGCAGAAAAAGUUGUUUUCAAAUUUUUUCAAAUAAAUCUUAAAAUAAACUAGACAAUAUUUGAGAGAGGUAGGAAAAAGAAUUAUUUUAUUUGGAGUUGUAUUUAAUAAGAUACAACCGGUCAAAGUUUGGUCAAAAUCUGUUAUUUAAAUUAAAACAGAAAAGAAAACGUUUCGAAUAUUUACGUACACAUCGAAGGCGUAUUUUGGAAAUGCGCUUCCACUUAACCCACGUGGACUGGGGCUGGCUCACUGAUAGUGGGUCCAGGGGGCCCACUGGUCAGGUUUGACCAGUCCAUCCCUCCUUCCUCUUCCUUCGCCCGAACGGAGGCGAGGCGACGGCGAUCGACGCUCGCGAAUGGAUGCUCCCCGUGGGCUCCAGAGAGUCGAGAUGGAUCCGCAAGACUGAGGCGGUCCUCCCGGUGGUCGUUGGGUCGGCGGGGGUGGAGGGAGUCGCCGACGGUGAGCUUCGCGGCGGAGGAGGCCUCGGGAGCAAAGUGCUUUUGUGGCUGUGGGGGUUCCCGAUCAAAAUCGAGUAGGGGAAAGGGUUCAUGGGAGGAAGAGAAGGCUCCUGGUGGAGAGAGUGGAGAGGGGGAGGUCCUAGUGGUGCCGGAAUGGCCGGGGCGGUGGCGGCGGCAGGAGUUGCCGGAGACGGGGAAGAAAACCUCCCCGGGUCGAUUGCGAGCUAGGGAAGCGCCAUUGAGGUGGCCUCUGUGCGGGAACGGGCUCGGGGCUCCCUUAAAUAGGCGAGUCGAGGCGGUUCAGCGGCGGCCACGGAUGAGCUCGUCGGCGACUGACGUUCUGUAGCUGCAGGGCAUCGUGGCGAGGCUGGGGAUGGCGGUAGGAGCUAGCGGACGAGCGGCUACUGCUCCAAGGGCGAGCUAGCGAGCGGAGGUGGCUUGGGCGGCGCUGGCCAGCGCAGGAGCUAUCGACUGGAAGUGGCGGCUAGCUGCUGGCCUGCCGGAGACGUGGCGAGAGCUGCUGGGCUCGUGGGGUGCAGAAGGGGACACGGCGUGCUGGCUGCGGUCGGUCACAGACCGGCGUGAGUGCGGGGCGGGACGUGGUGGCUCAGGCACACGUGCGUGCCAAACGCACGCUCUGGGCGCGCCCAGAGCAUGCCCAGGUCGUGCUCGAUGAAAUGCCAGGGUAGCCUAGAGGUCCCAGUUGAGGUUGGUAAGAAACAUGGCUAGUCUAGGGUUAGCAAGGGAAUCAAGGGACAAGGUGGAUAGGUCAGGGGCUCAAGUUCACGAUGUAAACUUGAAAUCAUGCCAAAUCUGGCUAUGCACUCAGGGUGUUUGUCAAAAUGCCAAGGGCAUCCAGGCAGUACUUGGGGUGGCCAAAUCUUCCAGAUCAAUGUCUCUAUGGAUGAAUGAGAGGGUGGUGAAAUUAGUUUGCCAAAAGGAGAAACUUUCUAGUGCAAGUUUUGCAAAACUACAAUUCUGGACAGGGAGUAAAUGGCAUCAUUACAUGGACCAAAAGUGUUCCACAGAGUGCAUGCUCCUGGACUUAGGGGUUUUGGAGGGUUGACUACAAGCAGGUGAAAGCACAAGGUCACUAGAGCAAGAAUGAAUGGGGUUGCAGUACAAAACACAAGUCUGGUCCAGAAUGAAAAAGAGGUUGGUUCACUCAAUUUUUCCAAAGAACAACACUAUGUUUUUGCAUAAAGUGGGAUGGCAUGCUACCACUGACAUCCCAUAAUUUUGGUGGAGGCUCUAGGGAAAUAUUUAGUUAGGCUAUAGUGCAAAAGUGCCCAUUGGACCAGAUCUGAAAAACAGGUGUAAAACUCAAAAUAUGCAAUGAAAUAAUCAUAUUAUUGCACAAAAGUGAUUUACAGACAUCACAUGACAUCUCCAACUUUUGGUUGGAAUUUUAGUUAAAUUUAUCAAAUGGUUGCAGUAAAAAAAGAGCUCGAAAACUUAAAGAAAGUCAUUUUAAUGAAUAAAGCUCAGGGUGAAAUAAUUUAAUAAAUAAUUCUACUGAUAAGAAAAUGUUAUACAGAGAGCAUAGAAGUCCAAUAUGUUUUGGAAAGCUCCACUUGGGAAAAACUCCUUAAUAUGGAAAGGAAGGUUCUGAAAUCAACAGAAAUAAAAAAUUUAAAACUCCUGGCAAAUUUUAUUAUUUAAAACUUGGUUAAAUUUUUGGGGUGUUACAAUUACUACCCCCCUUAAGAAAAAUCUCGUCCUCGAGAUUUGCUAAGGGUUGCUAAACAAAAUACUUUUACUUGGUCAAAAGAUCAUUUUACUAAAGCGGAAAAAAGUGGCUACAGUGAGAGGGCAAUAAGUGUUGAGUAACUAUAGUGUGGAAUACUGGCGUUGUGGGAAGAAGUUCCACGUUUAGGAAAACGAGCGAUUUCUACGCUGGACGCAGUAAAUUUGGAAUAAAUUCUAAAUUCUACAAUACGCUGGUCGUACCCGAGAGCACAGUGCUCCCUCUGGCUGACAGGUGGGACCAGGGCCCACUGUCAGUCUCUCCUUCUUCCUCUGGCUCUCUCUUCUUCCUCUCUCCCGCACGCUUUCUCAGCUUUCUCCACCGGUGACGUUUAGCGCGUAGGGCAUCUAGGACGUACUGCGGUAGUGCGCGGCGUGCUUGCUUGCUGCCGAUGCAGUGUGCACUCACCUCGCGGGCCAGUGCGCUGUCGGCACUACUUGCGGAUUCGCCUCCGAACACCGGCGAUCGGGCGACGAGCGGCGCUGGUGGACUUCGCCCACCAUACACUGAUCCCGAGCUAUAAAAUGACCGCGGUGCUCCUUCUUGAUCUUCGCACUUGGCCUCGUUUCUCCUCCUCCUUCUCCUCCAUUACUGCUUACCGGAGCUCGAGACGAGGCUCCAAUGGCGGAGACGGUGCCGGACUGGUAUGUGAUCCUGGUGUGUGGUGGGCUGGCGGCAGUGCUGGCGCUCUCUGUGCUCCUGGGCGCGAUGAUCUUUGAUGAUCGCUGUGAUGCUGCCGCUCGGGUGCUGGCUCUCCGCGGUGGCGGUGAUCACGGGGAUUAGGCGUAAUUCCGGUUAUUCACCGUUAUCGGUGUGCUGAAGGUGAUUAGUAUCCGGAUGAUUAUCCGCUAAUCUCUCCCUUGGAGGCAUGUGGAGUACUUAGAGGGGUGGUUGGUGAGAUGCAACAUGGUUGCAUGUAUUUGCAAGCAGUGUAAGAGUCCGAGUGGUUAUGGGUCUGCUGCCGUGGUGCUGCGUGAAUAAAAAUAAUCCAUGCAGUGAGGAAGUAAAUGAUGCAGCAACUCAGGGAAAAGAAAUCUCAUUCCAGGAUUUUCGCGGUUACACAGGUUACUCACGAAGAAAAACACUCAUAUAAGUAGAAACUAAAUAUUCGACUCACCACACAAAUUCGAGGUACCAUGCAUAAGUUACAACGUAAUAAUAAAUGCUGAAAUAACACACACAGCAGUGACGUCUAAAAUGAGAAUGGUAACUGGACAGGGUCUCGAGAAAAAGUCUCUGGCAAUGGAAUACACUCCUCUUCUAUCGGAGGAAGUGGAUUGAUCAGUCGAUGUAUGCAUCUCUCCGGGUCGGGCCUCAGUGGUCUGCCGAUGGCAAUCUGAGGAUUCAGAUCAGUGAGACUCUGGAGAUAAUCCAUCACUCGCUGGUUCAAAUGCUCUUGAGUGAUGAUGUAUUGGAUAAGGUUGGCUAGCCCUGGGUCUCUCUCAAUCGGUCCACCGGGAAAAGAUGUUACUCCUCCGGGCGUUGCACGGCUCAGAAAGUAAUAAUAUCCUCGUUCGCGGGCAUAGGGUACUGCGGAUCGAAGACGAGCAAUCGCUUCGUUCGCAGCAGCUUCUAUGGCCAAGCGUGGGGUCGGCAUAGAUUUCCCCACGAAGGAAACUUCCAUUGGAUCUUGGUUGGAGUCUACGGGAGGUAUGUGUACUGCUGCCUAAUAUUCCGAGGUGGAAGGGGUGAUUCUCGAUUUGAACAGCUCGUACUGGGGUGGCUGGGUAGAACCCAUGGUACUGCAGGUAAAGUCCCACAAUAUUUUGACAAAGCUACCUGUUGGGGAACGUAGCAGAAAUUCAAAAUUUUCCUACGUGUCACCAAGAUCUAUCUAUGGAGAAACCAGCAACGAGGGGAAGGAGAGUGCACCUACAUACCCUUGUAGAUCGCUAAGCGGAAACGUUCAAGUGAACGGGGUUGAUGGAGUCGUACUCGUCGUGAUUCAGAUCACCGAUGAUCCUAGUGCCGAACGGACGGCACCUCCGCGUUCAACACACGUACAGCUCGACGAUGUCUCCCACGCCUUGAUCCAGCAAGGAGAGAGGGAGAGGUUGAGGAAGACUCCAUCCAGCAGCAGCACAACGGUGUGGUGGUGAUGGAGGAGCGUGGCAAUCCUGCAGGGCUUCGCCAAGCACCUACGGGAGAGGAGGAGGUGUCACGGGAGGGAGGGAGGCGCCAAGGGCUCAGGUAUGGAUGCCCUCCCUCCCCUCCACUAUAUAUAGGGGCAGGGGAGAGGGGGGAGGCGCAGCCUUGCCCCUUCCUCCAAGGAAGGGGUGCGGCUAAGAGGGGGGGAGGAGUCCAUCCUCCCCAAGGCACCUCGGAGGUGCGUUCCCCCUUUAGGACUCUCCCCUUUUUCCUAUAUCUUGGCGCAUGGGCCUCUAGGGGCUGGUGCCCUUGGCCCAUGUAGGCCAAGGCGCACCCCCUACAGCCCAUGUGGCCCCCCGGGGCAGGUGGCCCCACCCGGUGGGCCCCCGGGACCCUUCCGGUGGUCCCGGUAGAAUAUCGAUGACCCCGAAACUUGUCCCGAUGGCCGAAACAGGACUUCCUAUAUAUAAAUCUUUACCUCCGGACCAUUACGGAACUCCUCGUGACGUCCGGGAUCUCAUCCGGGACUCCGAACAACAUUCGGUAACCACAUACAAACUUCCUUUAUAACCCUAGCGUCAUCGAACCUUAAGUGUGUAGACCCUACGGGUUCGGGAGACAUGCAGACAUGACCGAGACGUUCUCCGGUCAAUAACCAACAGCGGGAUCUGGAUACCCAUGUUGGCCCCCACAUGUUCCACGAUGAUCUCAUCGGAUGAACCACGAUGUCAAGGACUCAAUCAAUCCCGUAUACAAUUCCCUUUGUCUAGCGGUAUGGUACUUGCCCGAGAUUCGAUCGUCGGUAUACCGAUACCUUGUUCAAUCUCGUUACCGGCAAGUCUCUUUACUCGUUCCGUAACACAUCAUCCCGUGAUCAACCCCUUGGUCACAUUGUGCACAUUAUGAUGAUGUCCUACCGAGUGGGCCCAGAGAUACCUCUCCGUUUACACGGAGUGACAAAAUCCCAAUCUCGAUUCGUGCCAACCCAACAGACACUUUCAGAGAUACCCGUAGUGUACCUUUAUAGCCACCCAGUUACGUUGUGACGUUUGGCACACCCAAAGCACUCCUACGGUAUCCGGGAGUUGCACAAUCUCAUGGUCUAAGGAAAUGAUACUUGACAUUAGAAAAGCUUUAGCAUACGAACUACAUGAUCUUGUGCUAGGCUUAGGAUUGGGUCUUGUCCAUCACAUCAUUCUCCUAAUGAUGUGAUCCCGUUAUCAACGACAUCCAAUGUCCAUGGUCAGGAAACCGUAACCAUCUAUUGAUUAACGAGCUAGUCAACUAGAGGCUUACUAGGGACAUGGUGUUGUCUAUGUAUCCACACAUGUAUCUGAGUUUCCUAUCAAUACAAUUCUAGCAUGGAUAAUAAACGAUUAUCAUGAACAAGGAAAUAUAAUAAUAAUCAAUUUAUUAUUGCCUCUAGGGCAUAUUUCCAACAGUCUCCCACUUGCACUAGAGUCAAUAAUCUAGUUCACAUCACCAUGUGAUUAACACUGACAGGUCACAUCACCAUGUGACCAACAUCCAAAGAGUCUUGGGUUUGAUCAUGUUGCUUGUGAGAGAGGUUUUUAGUCAACGGGUCUGAACCUUUCAGAUCCGCGUGUGCUUUACAAAUCUCUAUGUCAUCUCCUAGAUGUAGCUACCAUGUUCUAUUUGGAGCUAUUCCAAAUAACUGUUCUACUUGGAGCUAUUCUAAAUUGUUGCUCCAUUAUACGUAUCCGGUAUCUCUACUCAGAGCUAUCCGGAUAGGUGUUAAGCUUGCAUCGACGUAACCCUUUACGACGAACUCUUUUACCACCUCCAUAAUUGAAAAAAUUCCUUAGUCCACUAGUUACUAAGGAUAACUUUGACCGCUGUCCUGUGAUCCAUUCUUGGAUCACUCUUGUACCCCUUGACUGACUCAUGGUAAAGCACACUUCAGGUGCGGUACACAGCAUAGCAUUCUGUAGAGCCUAUGUCUUAAGCAUAGGGGACGACCUUCGUUCCUUUCUCUCUAUUCUGCCAUGGUCGAGCUUUAAGUCUUAACUUCAUACCUUACAACUCAGGCAAGAACUCCUUCUUUGACUGAUCCAUCUUGAACACCUUCAAGAUCAUGUCAAGGCAUGUGCUCAUUUGAAAGUACUAUUAAGCGUUUUGAUCUAUCCUUAUAGAUCUUGAUGCUCAAUGUUCAAGUAGCUUAAUCCAGGUUUUCCAUUGAAAACACUUUCCAAAUAACCCUAUAUGCUUUCCAGAAAUUCUACGUCAUUUCUGAUCAUUAAUAUGUCAACAACAUAUACUCAUCAGAAAUUCUAUAGUGCUCCCACUCACUUCUUUGGAAAUACAAGUUUCUCAUGAACUUUGUAUACACCCAAAAUCUUUGAUCAUCUCAUCAAAGCAUACAUUCCAACUCCGAGAUGCUUACUCCAGUCCUUAGAAGGAUAGCUGGAGCUUUGCAUACUUAUUAGCAUCUUUCAGGAUUGACAAAACCUUCUGGUUGUAUCACAUACAACCUUUCCUUAAGAAAAUUGUCGAGGAAACAAUGUUUUGACAUCCUAUCUGCAAGAUUUCAUAAAUAAUGCAGUAAUCGCUAAUAUAAUUCCAACAGACUCUUAGCAUCGCUACGAGUGAGAAAGUCUCAUCGUAGUCAACUCCUUGAACUUGUCGAAAAACAUCUUAAUGACAAGUCGAGCUUUCUCAAUGGUGACACUUACCAUCAUUGUCUGUCUUCCUUUCAAAAUCCAUCUGCACUCAACAGCCUUACGACCAUCGAGUUGUUCUUCCAAAGUCUACACUUUGUUUUCAUACAUGGAUCCUAUCUUGGAUUUUAUGGCUUCUAACCAUUUUUCGGAAUUUGGGCCCACCAUCACUUCUCCAUGGCUCGUAGGUUCAUUGUUGUCUAGCAACAUGACCUUCAAGACAGGAUUACUGUACCACUCUGAAGUAGUACGUAUCCUUGUCACCCUACGAGGUUCGGUAGUGACUUGAUCCGAAACUUCAUGAUCACUAUCAUAAGCUUCCACUUCAAUUGGUGUAGGUGCCACAGGAACAACUUCCUGUGCCCUGCUACACACUUGUUGAAGUGACGGUUCAAUAACCUCAUCAAGUCUCCACCAUCCUCCCACUCAAUUCUUUCGAGAGAAACUUUUCCUCGAGAAAGGACCCGAUUCUAGAAACAAUCCCUUAUUGCUUUCGAAUCUGAGACAGGAGGUAUACCCAACUGUUUUGGGUGUCCUAUGAAGAUGCAUUUAUCCGCUUUGGGUUCGAGCUUAUCAGCCUGAAACCUUUCCACAUAAGCAUCGCAGCCCCAAACUUCUAAGAAAUGACAGCUUAGGUUUCUCUAAACCAUAGUUCAUACGGUGUCAUCUCAUCGGAAUUACGUGGUGCCCUAUUUAAAGUGAAUGUGGUUGUCUCUAAUGCCUAACCCAUAAACUAUCGUGGUAAUUCGAUAAGAGACAUCAUGGUAUGCAUCAUAUCCAAUAGGGUGCAAUUAUGAUGUUCGGAUACACCAUCACACUAUGGUGUUCCAGGCUGUAUUAGUUGUGAAACUAUUUCCACAAUGUCUUAAUUCUGUGCCAAACUCGUAAUUCAGAUAUUCAUCUCUAUGAUCAUAUCAUAGAUAUUUUAUCCUCUUGUCACGACGAUCUUUCAACUUCACCCUGAAAUUACUUGAACCUUUCAAUAAUUCAGACUCAUGAUUCAUCAAGCAAAUGUACUCAACAUCCACUCAAAUUAUCUGUGAAGUAAGAACAUAACAAUAUCGACUACAUGCAUUGGACUGUACACAUCAAAAUGUAUUACUUCCAACAAGUUGCUAUCUUGUUCCAUCUUACUGAAAACGAGGCUUUUCAGUCAUCUUGCCGGUGUGGUAUGAUUUGCAUGUCCCAAGUGAUUCAAAAUCAAGUGAGUCAAAACGGUCCAUUUGCAUGGAGUUUCUUCAUGCAUAUACACCAAUAGACAUGGUUCGCAUGUCUCAAACUUUUCAAAACGAGUGAGCCCAAAGAUCCAUCAAUAUGGAGCUUCUUCAUGCGUUUUAUACCGAUAUGACUUACGUGGCAGUGCCACAAGUAGGUGGUGCUAUCAUUACUAUCUUUUGGCAUGAACAUGUGUAUCACUACGAUCAAGAUUUAAUAAACCAUACAUUUUAGGUGUAAGGCCAUUGAAGGUAUUAUUCAAAUAAAUAGAGUAACCAUUAUUCUCCUUAAAUGAAUAACCGUAUUGCGAUAGACGUAAUCCAAUCAUGUCUAUGCUCAACGCAAACACCAAAUAACAAUUAUUUAGGUUUAACACCAAUCUCUUUGGUAGAGGGAGCGUGCGAUGCUUGAUCAUAUCAAGCUUGGAAAAACUUCCAACACAUAUCGUCAGCUCACCUUUAGCUAGUCUCCGCUUAUUCCGUAGCCUUUUGUUUCGAGUUACUAACACUUAGCAACCGAACCGGUAUCUAAUACCCUGGUGCUACUAGGAGUACUAGCAAAGUACACAUUAACACAAUGUAUAUCCAAUAUACUUCUAUCGACCUUGCCAGCCUUCUUAUCUACCAAGUAUCUAGGGUAAUUCUGCUCUAGUGGUUGUUCCCCUUAUUACAGAAGCACUUAGUCUCGGGUUUGGGUUUUACCUUGGGUUUCUUCACUAGAUCAGCAGCUGAUUUGCCGUUUCAUGAAGUAUCCCUUCUUGCCCUUGCCCUUCUUGAAACUAGUGGUUUCACCAACCAUCAACAAUUGAUGCUCCUUCUUGAUUUCUACUUUCACAGUGUCAAACAUCGCGAAUACCUCAAGGAUCAUCAUAUCUAUCCCUGAUAUGUUAUAGUUCAUUACGAAGCUCUAGCAGCUUGGUGGUAAUGACUUCGGAGAAACAUCACUAUCUCAUCUGGAAGAUCAACUCCCACUCGAUUCAAGCGAUUGUUGUACUCAGACAAUCUGAGCACAAGCUCAACAAUUGAGCUUUUCUCCUUAGUUUGCAGGUUAAGAAAGUCAUCGGAGGUCUUGUACCUCUUGACAUGGGCACGAGCCUGAAAUCCCAAUUUCAGCCCUCAAAACAUCUCAUAUGUUUCGCGACGUUUCAAAAAUGUCUUUGGUGCCUCAACUCUAAACCAUUUAACUGAACUAUCACGUAGUUAUCAAAACGUGUAUGUCAGAUGUUCGCAACAACCACAGACAACGUUCGAGAUUCAGCACACUGAGCGGUGCAUUAAGGACAUAAGCCUUCUAUGAAGCAAUGAGGACAAUCCUCAGUUUAUGAACCUAGUCCGCAUAAUUGCUACUAUCAACUUUCAACUAAUUUUUCUCUAGGAACAUAUCUAAACAGUAGAACUAUAGCGUGAGCUACGACAUAAUUUGCAAAAACCUUUUGACUAUGUUCAGGAUAAUUAAGUUCAUCUUAUGAACUCCCACUCAGAUAGACAUCCCUCUAGUCAUCUAAGUGAUUACAUGAUCCGAGUCAAACUAGGCCGUGUCUGAUCAUCACGUGAGAUGGACUAGUCAUCAUCGGUGAACAUCUUCAUGUUGAUCGUAUCUUCUAUACGACUCAUGUUUGACCUUUCGGUCUCCGUGUUUCGAGGCCAUGUCUGUACAUGCUAGGCUCGUCAAGUUAACCCUAAGUGUUUCGCGUGUGUAAAUCUGUCUUACACCCGUUGUAUGUGAACGUUAGAAUCUAACACCCGAUCAUCACGUGGUGCUUCGAAACACGAACUGUCGCAACGGUGCACAGUUAGGGGAGAACACUUCUUGAAAUUGUUGUAAGGGAUCAUCUUAUUUACUACCGUCGUUCUAAGCAAAUAAGAUGUAUAAACAUGAUAAACAUCACAUGCAAUCAAAUAGUGACAUGAUAUGGCCAUCAUCACUUUGCUCCUUUUGAUCUCCAUCUUCGGGGCUCCAUGAUCAUCAUCGUCACCGGCAUGACACCAUGAUCUCCAUCAUCAUGAUCUCCAUCAUCGUGUCUUCAUGAAGUUGCCUCGCCAACUAUUACUUCUAUUACUAUGGCUAACGGUUAGCAAUAAAGUAAAGUAAUUACAUGACGUUUAAGUUGACACGCAGGUCACAAAUAAAUAAAGACAACUCCUAUGGCUCCUGCCGGUUGUCAUACUCAUCGACAUGCAAGUCGUGAUUCCUAUUACAAGAACAUGAUCAAUCUCAUACAUCACAUAUAUCAUUCAUCACAUCCUUUUUGGCCAUAUCACAUCACAUAGCAUACCCUGCAAAAACAAGUUAGACGUCCUCUAAUUGUUGUUUGCAUGUUUUACGUGGCUGCUAUGGGUUUCUAGCAAGAACGUUUCUUACCUACGCAUGAACCACAACGUGAUAUGCCAAUUGCUAUUUACCCUUCAUAAGGACCCUUUUCAUCGAAUCCGAUCCGACUAAAGUGGGAGAGACAGACACCCGCCAGCCACCUAAUGCAACUAAUGCAUGUUUGUCGGUGGAACCGGUCUCACGUAACCGUACGUGUAAGGUUAGUCCGGGCCGCUUCAUCCCACGAUGCCGCCGAAUCAAGAUAAGACUAGUAACGGCAAGCAUAUUGAACAAUAUCGACGCCCACAACUACUUUGUGUUCUACUCGUGCAAAGAAUCUACGCAAUAGACCUAGCUCAUGAUGCCACUGUUGGGGAACGUAGCAGAAAUUCAAAAUUUUCCUACGUGUCACCAAGAUCUAUCUAUGGAGAAACCAGCAACGAGGGGAAGGAGAGUGCAUCUACAUACCCUUGUAGAUCGCUAAGCGGAAGCGUUCAAGUGAACAGGGUUGAUGGAGUCGUACUCGUCGUGAUUCAGAUCACCGAUGAUCCUAGUGCCGAACGGACGGCACCUCCGCGUUCAACACACGUACAGCUCGACGAUGUCUCCCACGCCUUGAUCCAGCAAGGAGAGAGGGAGAGGUUGAGGAAGACUCCAUCCAGCAGCAGCACAACGGCAUGGUGGUGAUGGAGGAGCGUGGCAAUCCUGCAGGGCUUCGCCAAGCACCUACGGGAGAGGAGGAGGUGUCACGGGAGGGAGGGAGGCGCCAAGGGCUUAGGUAUGGAUGCCCUCCCUCCCCUCCACUAUAUAUAGGGGCAGGGGAGAGGGGGGAGGCGCAGCCUUGCCCCUUCCUCCAAGGAAGGGGUGCGGCUAAGAGGGGGGGAGGAGUCCAUCCUCCCCAAGGCACCUCGGAGGUGCCUUCCCCCUUUAGGACUCUCCCCUUUUUCCUAUAUCUUGGCGCAUGGGCCUCUAGGGGCUGGUGCCCUUGGCCCAUGUAGGCCAAGGCGCACCCCCUACAGCCCAUGUGGCCCCCCGGGGCAGGUGGCCCCACCCGGUGGGCCCCCGGGACCCUUCCGGUGGUCCCGGUACAAUACCGAUGACCCCGAAACUUGUCCCGAUGGUCGAAACAGGACUUCCUAUAUAUAAAUCUUUACCUCCGGACCAUUCCGGAACUCCUCGUGACGUCCGGGAUCUCAUCCGGGACUCUGAACAACAUUCGGUAACCACAUACAAACUUCCUUUAUAACCCUAGCGUGAUCGAACCUUAAGUGUGUAGACCCUACGGGUUCGGGAGACAUGCAGACAUGACCGAGACGUUCUCUGGUCAAUAACCAACAGCGGGAUGUGGAUACCCAUGUUGGCUCCCACAUGUUCCACGAUGAUCUCAUCGGAUGAACCACGAUGUCAAGGACUCAAUCAAUCCCGUAUACAAUUCCCUUUGUCUAGCGGUAUGGUACUUGCCCGAGAUUCGAUCGUCGGUAUACCGAUACCUUGUUCAAUCUCGUUACCGGCAAGUCUCUUUACUCGUUCCGUAACACAUCAUCCCGUGAUCAACCCCUUGGUCACAUUGUGCACAUUAUGAUGAUGUCCUACCGAGUGGGCCCAGAGAUACCUCUCCGUUUACACGGAGUGACAAAAUCCCAAUCUCGAUUCGUGCCAACCCAACAGACACUUUCAGAGAUACCCGUAGUGUACCUUUAUAGCCACCCAGUUAUGUUGUGACGUUUGGCACACCCAAAGCACUCCUACGGUAUCCGGGAGUUGCACAAUCUCAUGGUCUAAGGAAAUGAUACUUGACAUUAGAAAAGCUUUAGCAUACGAACUACAUGAUCUUGUGCUAGGCUUAGGAUUGGGUCUUGUCCAUCGCAUCAUUCUCCUAAUGAUGUGAUCCCGUUAUCAACGACAUCCAAUGUCCAUGGUCAGGAAACCAUAACCAUCUAUUGAUUAACGAGCUAGUCAACUAGAGGCUUACUAGGGACAUGGUGUUGUCUAUGUAUCCACACAUGUAUCUGAGUUUCCUAUCAAUACAAUUCUAGCAUGGAUAAUAAACAAUUAUCAUGAACAAGGAAAUAUAAUAAUAAUCAAUUUAUUAUUGCCUCUAGGGCAUAUUUCCAACACUACCUGGGGUUGCAUCUGGGGUUCUCCGAUAAAUACUAGGGCUCGGCAUGGCAAGAAAUGGUUGUGAGAGUGGUGCACGAGGUGAGGGUUGCUGGGUAAGGUCACAAGGUGGCCUUUCUUAUAUAGCAUCUGGGUUGGUUUAUUUACCGUGGUGAAAGGUAAUAAAUAUGCCAGAUCACCUCCAAAGGUCGGGGUCAGUGUCAGAGAUACACAUAUCUCAUAAAGAGACGUGUUAUUGUGGGUGUCAUCGGGGUUGGUUUUGGUAGCUGUGCCCGGAAAAUGUGCAACCAUGCGCUGACAAAACACGCAAGGCUACUAUUAAAACAGAGGCACAACGACAGGCUGCGUUAAUUUACAAGGUCGCACGAUUACAAGCGAGGAUACACUGAGACUGGAUACUACUAGUAUGGCUUAGUCUACCUCGUUUAUGUCUAAACGGGCGUGCCUGGUGGAUGUCGAGGCUUCUCCACGUGUCUCACUAUCGGGAUUAGUCAGAGAUGGUGGAGGAACUGCAGGGUUGGGGUAGCGAUGAUGACCAUCGCGGGGAUUGUUGGCCACAAUUCCGUUGGAGUGUGCUCCCAAAAGGUGAUGAAGCACUUCUGGGGUCAUCAAAGUACCUUGGCCGCUGGCUGGAGCUGACCUCAGGGCCUCGAUCGGGUGUCCGAACAGCACGACUGGGUUGUCGGUGUCAGGCUCGGCUUCCCUGCUUGUCGGGGCUCUGCGAACCAGCUCUCCUCGAGCUGCGAUCAGAUCAAUGGUAAUCUGGUCGGACAGUGCCUCUAAGUGCACUUGAUACAGAAUUUCCAAGCAAGAUACAAAAUAUGUAGUACAAGACCAUUCUGGCGUGUGAGUACAACAAAUGGUUUCUAAUGGUUGAUGGCGGAAGCGAUUUGUGGAUCAUCAGUGUCUAUGGGACUCCAAUUCCCACAGGAAUAGCUGACCAGGUUAACUCCUAUCUUCGCGAGGCUGCUAUCACCUUUGCUUAGGUUCUGGGACUGUCUCCACGGUCGCUCCUCUCCGCGCAAGAAAAUCUGGCCAAGACAAUAGCCAGGGACAAGCCAGUGAGUACUUUGAAUGUACUCGCAAACAUUUGUGAACACAGGUAUAAUAUAACAAUGAUGUGCUGAAAAUAUUUUAUGCUCAUGACGUCAGUCACAAAAGAUAAAUAAAACUCUGAUGCAUGCAAGCAUGUUAUUUAUGAAUAUGCAAUAACAUAUUAGUAUUAAAAUUAUGAAAAUAAAUAACAAGUAUGCCAUAGUCGGGCGUCUUAGCGACACCACAUAAAGGGCUUUAGAAGAAAUGCCACAGUCGGGCGUCUUAGCGACACCACAUAAAGGGCUUUAAAAGAAAUGCCACAGUCGGGCGUCUUAGCGACACCACAUAAAGGGCUUUAAAAGAAAUGCCACAGUCGGGUGUCUUAGCGACACCGCAUAAAGGGCUUUAAAAGAAAUGCCACAGUCGGGCGUCUUAGCNNNNNNNNNNNNNNNNNNNNNNNNNNNNNNNNNNNNNNNNNNNNNNNNNNNNNNNNNNNNNNNNNNNNNNNNNNNNNNNNNNNNNNNNNNNNNNNNNNNNNNNNNNNNNNNNNNNNNNNNNNNNNNNNNNNNNNNNNNNNNNNNNNNNNNNNNNNNNNNNNNNNNNNNNNNNNNNNNNNNNNNNNNNNNNNNNNNNNNNNNNNNNNNNNNNNNNNNNNNNNNNNNNNNNNNNNNNNNNNNNNNNNNNNNNNNNNNNNNNNNNNNNNNNNNNNNNNNNNNNNNNNNNNNNNNNNNNNNNNNNNNNNNNNNNAAAAGAAAUGCCAUAGUCGGGCAUCUUAGCGACACCACAUAAAGGGCUUUAAAAGAAAUGCCACGGUCGGGCGUCUUAGCGACACCGCAUAAAGGGCUUUAAAAGAAAUGCCACCGUCGGGCGUCUUAGCGACACCACAUAAAUGGCUUUAAAAGAAAUGCCACAGUCGGGUGUCUUAGCGACAACACAUAAAGGGCUUUAAAAGAAACAACCAUAGUGAAUAUAUCGGAGGUAGAACCAUCCUAGGGAUAUUCGAUAAUACCAAUAAUAUCACAGGUUAGUCCAGAACAAAAUUAAUAUUCAUAAUUAUCACAAGUCACAAGUUGUGAUUCCAGUUUUGGUUUAACAGUUUCACCUCCGAAGACCGACAUUAGACCGACACUUGACCCAUCCCAGACUAUAAUCCUUAACCAUGGACACGGCUAUUCGAAUAGGUUUAAUCUCUGCAGAGGGUGUACUCUUUACCCACGAGUGACGGGUUCCUUUAGUCCAUCGGGACUAAUUCUGUCUACGGUCUUUUUGUUGGAAACACACCUAACUUGCACACACCAGCUUAACUCACAUGUGUCUGGAAUCACCCACGACACCUGUCAAGCAAAACUUUAAGUGGGGAGGCUACAACCUCGACGUAACAUGGGAUCACAAAAAUUUUACCGCGCGCAAACUGGGGAGCUACCCCCUUCGGCUACAACCGAAACACCAAUGCUCCUGGACCCGGUGGCAUGACUACCGGAUGCCUCCAGUAUCUUCCACCAUGGCCUCUCUGUACGGUGUGUGCUAGGACAGUUGUUGACAACUUACUGAACCGUACCCUACUUGUUGUAGAGACGAGUGGUAGUACGAAGCAAGUAUGGGGGUUACUGGCACAAGACUCGAUCUACUGUCGACUCAGGAGGUUCAAAUAUUUCCUGCAAGAUUAGCAUAACAAUACAUAUACUUCAACCAACAGAUAGAAACAUCACGCGACAUACCCCCUCAUGCCAUACCGGACACGACCGUCUCGACGGAGGACUAGGGACAAGACCGUGUCUACCCAAGACAGAGGCCUUCCCGGCUUCCCUUCCGGUAUGCAUGAAAGGCAUAUGACGGUGAUUUCCAUCACAACCAUAUCAACUCCAUCAGCAUAAAAAUCAUUAAUAUGCACUCAUGAGUAGGAUCACAUCCUCACAUAAAAUGACGUAUGCUCGAGUCGGUGUGGCGUUGUCACCGAGUCAAACAACACAUACAAAAAUUACACCAGGGUUCAGAAUGCUUGCCUUCAGGUCAUGAGAAAGCAGGGUGCAUUCCAAAACAUCUUGAAAUCUUCAAAAUCCUAUUUUAUAAAUAUAUAUAUAUGAAUUAACACACAAAAUCAAAACAGCAGAAAAAGUUGUUUUGAAAUUUUUUCAAAUAAAUCUUAAAAUAAACUAGACAAUAUUUGAGAGAGGUAGGAAAAAGAAUUAUUUUAUUUGGAGUUGUAUUUAAUAAGAUACAACCGGUCAAAGUUUGGUCAAAAUCUGUUAUUUAAAUUAAAACAGAAAAGAAAACGUUUCGAAUAUUUACGUACACAUCGAAGGCGUAUUUUGGAAAUGCGCUUCCACUUAACCCACGUGGACUGGGGCGGGGUCACUGAUAGUGGGUCCAGGGGGCCCACUGGUCAGGUUUGACCAGUCCAUCCCUCCUUCCUCUUCCUUCGCCCGAACGGAGGCGAGGCGACGGUGAUCGACGCUUGCGAAUGGCUGCUCCCCGUGGGCUCCAGAGAGUCGAGAUGGAUCCGCAAGACUGAGGCGGUCCUCCCGGUGGUCGUUGGGUCGGCGGGGGUGGAGGGAGUCGCCGACGGUGAGCUUCGCGGCGGAGGAGGCCUCGGGAGCAAAGUGCUUUUGUGGCUGUGGGGGUUCCCGAUCAAAAUCGUGUAGGGGAAAGGGUUCACGGGAGGAAGAGAAGGUUCCUGGUGGAGAGAGUGGAGAGGGGGAGGUCCUAGUGGUGCCGGAAUGGCCGGGGCGGUGGCGGCGGCAGGAGUUGCCGGAGACGGGGAAGAAAACCUCCCCGGGUCGAUUGCGAGCUAGGGAAGCGCCAUUGAGGUGGCCUCUGUGCGGGAACGGGCUCGGGGCUCCCUUAAAUAGGCGAGUCGAGGCGGUUCAGCGGCGGCCACGGAUGAGCUCGUCGGCGACCGACGUUCUGUAGCUGCAGGGCAUCGUGGCGAGGCUGGGGAUGGCGGUAGGAGCUAGCGGACGAGCGGCUACUGCUCCAAGGCCGAGCUGGCGAGCGGAGGUGGCUUGGGCGGCGCUGGCCAGCGCAGGAGCUAUCGGAUGGCAGUGGCGGCUAGCUGCUGGCCUGCCGGAGACGUGGCGAGAGCUGCGGGGCUCGUGGGGUGCAGAAGGGGACACAGCGUGCUGGCUGCGGUCGGUCACGGACCGGCGUGAGUGCGGGGCGGGACGUGGUGGCUCAGGCACACGUGCGUGCCAAACGCACGCUCUGGGCGCGCCCAGAGCAUGCCCAGGUCGUGCUCGAUGAAAUGCCAGGGUAGCCUAGAGGUCCCGGUUGAGGUUGGUAAGAAACAUGGCUAGUCUAGGGUUAGCAAGGGAAUCAAGGGACAAGGUGGAUAGGUCAGGGGCUCAAGUUCACGAUGUAAACUUGAAAUCAUGCCAAAUCUGGCUAUGCACUCAGGGUGUUUGUCAAAAUGCCAAGGGCAUCCAGGCAGUACUUGGGGUGGCCAAAUCUUCCAGAUCAAUGUCUCUAUGGAUGAAUGAGAGGGUGGUGAAGUUAGUUUGCCAAAAGGAGAAACUUUCUAGUGCAAGUUUUGCAAAACUACAAUUCUGGACAGGGAGUAAAUGGCAUCAUUACAUGGACCAAAAGUGUUCCACAGAGUGCAUGCUCCUGGACUUAGGGGUUUUGGAGGGUUGACUACAAGCAAGUGAAAGCACAAGGUCACUAGAGCAAGAAUGAAUGGGGUUGCAGUACAAAACACAAGUCUGGUCCAGAAUGAAAAAGAGGUUGGUUCACUCAAUUUUUCCAAAGAACAACACUAUGUUUUUGCAUAAUGUGGGAUGGCAUGCUACCACUGACAUCCCAUAAUUUUGGUGGAGGCUCUAGGGAAAUAUUUAGUUAGGCUAUAGUGCAAAAGUGCCCAUUGGACCAGAUUUGAAAAACAGGUGUAAAACUCAAAAUAUGCAAUGAAAUAAUCAUAUUAUUGCACAAAAGUGAUUUAGAGACAUCAUAUGACAUCUCCAACUUUUGGUUGGAAUUUUAGUUAAAUUUAUCAAAUGGUUGCAGUAAAAAAAGAGCUCGAAAACUUAAAGAAAGUCAUUUUAAUGAAUAAAGCUCAGGGUGAAAUAAUUUAAUAAAUAAUUCUACUGAUAAGAAAAUGUUAUACAGAGAGCAUAGAAGUCCAAUAUGUUUUGGAAAGCUCCACUUGGGAAAAACUCCUUAAUAUGGAAAGAAAGGUUCUGAAAUCAACAGAAAUAAAAAUUUUAAAACUUCUGGCAAAAUUUUAUUAUUUAAAACUUGGUUAAAUUUUUGGGGUGUUACAAAAGGGCAAUGUCAGCAGCCUCCGUUUUUCCCCGCUAUCCUAUUUCUUCGACGAGUACGGAUCUUUUUCCGUCCGCUUGAUAAUGAUGUGGUUGCGACCUUCGUGUCCUACUGCAUGAUUACCGAGUACGUCCUUACCUCCGAGCUAUCUCAGGUUGCCACCUGGCUAAGCUAGCACUUGGUGUAGCGCUGUUUACACCAAUUCUACCACACAUCUAUUCGUCCUCGUGCACAUCGUCAUAGCAUAUUAGACCGCAAUACCUGAGUUUCCGCGAGAUUUGUGUGCUUAGGUGUGCAUGCAUAUUAUUGUGUGAGUAGCAGUAAUAUGUGAUGACUGCUUGAUUAAUUAUAUUAGUAGAAUGCUUUUGUGCUUUUGUUUUAGUCAUUUCUGUUGUUCCUUUCUUUGGGGCUUCCGUGUUACAAAUUUUUCCCCUAUUAAAGUUGCUCGUCAGCCGACACUUGACCCUAAGAAUUAGCAAGAAAUGCAUAUAUUUGGAAAUUCAGCUAAACAAAAUGGAAUUAUUAGCAGACUACAAUGAAAAUUGGAAUAUCUCGUCUGGAUGCAAAAGAAAUCCUGGAUGGACCGUCAGUAUCAAGUUUGCAUUUAACGUGCACUCCUCACAACAGUAUGGAAUUCUCAGCCGACUGCAUUCAUAUUUGGGGAAUAUUUGAUCAUGUUACUGAGUGUCAAGUCUCCCUCAGCGUGUACUCAUCACAACAAGAUGAGCAAAUCAGCAAGAAGAUAAAUUGUGUGCAAGGUUGACAGAAUAUUAUCAAAGGUAUGGCUCAGAUACAAGUUUAAUUUUUCGUUGAGGAUGAUUUUGGAACUCGAUGUACCUGGAAGCAAACAAAAAUAUGGCAUAUACUCGGAAAGGAGAAUAGUCCUGCAAAACCCCGUUUCAUGCAAGAAAUCCAUAGCAAAAAUAUUCAGAUGGCUAUAUAUGUGGAAAUCGGCCUACAUAUCACAAUAAGAAGCUUCUGGUGGAAGCAACCCAAUCUUCCCUCGCAAAAUACCAGAGAAGUUUCCAAGGCAAGAUUCAUCUAUCUUCCUGAGUACGAUACAUGGAUGACUUCCCGUGCAAGGUACCCUGUCUUCUUCAGUAAGCAACCGCAAAAGCUUCCAGCAUAAGGUACGGAGUCUUUCCCCAGCAAAGUCUUUAAGGGGGUAAGCUUCUGAAGCACGAUACCCAGUCUUCUUCAGCAAGCUGUCCGAUGAAAUUUUCGAGCACAAGACAGCAAAUAUUCCUCAUUAAGACAUUGGUACAAGGUACUACGCUGCAAAUUGACAGCAUAUGGUAGUGAAUCCCAAGAAUCAGAUCCGCAACAUUUUGGUUAGAAUCAAGUCAGAAUACAUGUCUGUCUCGGAAUCAGGUCCUCAUAUAUAUGCAAUGAGCAUACCAUCAAGAUCUUACAAGUCACACGGAUGAGGAUCUGACAACCACGUGAGGAUGGUUAAUAGAAGAAAGCCUGUAUACACCGCAGUGUGACAAAGGAUUAUGAGGAUUGACGACAUUAAUGAGCUCCAUACAAGUACUUGUGAACUGAAAAAUGAUCCUGAUGAGCCCUUGUCCCCUUUUUCUCCAAUGACGGCACCACACCUGUGAUCUUAGCUGUUUCUAGCUAUCCGGGGUGGAUGCCGAUUUUUGUCUCCCUCUUCAACGACUGUCACGAGUCUGAGCUGCUUUUCAGCCAUCUCGUACAGCUGUUGAGUUUCUUUUUGUGACAGUAGCCCUAUAGAUGCUUUUUGGCUAUUUUAGGGAGCUGCCACCUUCUUCUUAUUGACCCAGUCUCAUGCUCUGAGCUGCUUUUCGGCCGUCCUGAGUCGUGGUUGAGUUAUUUUAGUAAUGUCCCAGAUCUGAGUUGUAAAAACCGUUCUGGUGGCUACUGAUUUAUUUGCCGACUUCUUGCAAGGGUUUCAAUUGAUCAUUUCCCCACAAUCAGUACUUGAGAGGUGUUGAACCUACCAUUUAAUGGGUUACCCUAUCAAAAGAAUGAGGGUAAACUACAAUUGCCGAAACAUUGCACCGACACUACCUAUGGUCCUAAACAGAAACAAUAUGACCCAGCUCUUUCAGCCAAGGAUCCAGACCAAGAAAACAAUAAUGAAGGAGCAAGACUAGUGAGGCAGGUAUGAAAAUUGUAUACGACCCCCAUGGUGCAGGUCCCCCGGACAAUCUAAGUUAAUAUUAAUCCACAUGGAUAUGCCUACAGCAUGAGUAAUCGGCAUGAGGAAUAACAUUCUGGAAGCCUCAGUCCUCACUUAUAUGAAUCAUCAUGGAUAGCCUGUCGUGAACAAAAAAAAUUCGUCAGAACCACGGUCAGUCAAGACUGUAGAUAUUAUCAAACAGGCCAAACCCUUUAUGCUGGCCACAACAGGAGACAAUCAAAUAUUUGGUACGGAUCCGAUACUCACGACAGUGGAACUAGUUAAGAUGAUUCAAAAACUUCUGCGAUGAGUCAGAAUCUGUCAGGAAAUGGUUAUGUUUUAACUCACUGUUUGGAACCCAAAGGACCUGCAUUUAGUGGAGAAACCCAUUGCAAUGAGUCAGAGCUUGAGUUUUCAUUACAAAAUUCUGAUCAUCAUUACAUGAAAGGUUGUUAGUGCUAGGUGGCACACCCAACGGAAAUCACUUUUGGAUUUGUGAGACGGACAUAUAUUUCAGUCGUGAUAACUAAAUCACACUCAGCUAGUCAGCAGGUCUAAAAAGAAAUUGGAGCCUAUAUAAGCAUGAACAAGCAAGUUAAGAUCUGUCAAAAGGAGGAUACAGUGAAUCAAACCACCCCAGGGCCAGUCACAUAAAGAUUUAGUGGGAACAACAAUAAAAGAAAAAGGAUACCCAACUUGGAAAUGGUUUCCUUAAGUCACAAUAUUCAUACUUGUUCCCUGAGCAACCAAAUCUCGAGGACGAGAUUUCUUUAAGGGGGUAAGGUUUGUGACAACCUGAUUUUUGGCCCUUUCUUUUUCUUUUGUUUUUCCGAGGUUUUUGACAGAGUUUUUAUUUUUCGUGGCUUUGUGGUCUAGAAACUGAAGAAGAUGCCCUCUUCUUUGCUUCCAGAGUGGCUUGUCAUUCCCAAAUAUUUCCCAAAUAUUCCUUUUCUAUUCUGCCCUAAAUGGCACUUCGUGAAGGAAGUGUCAUUUAUAUUUUUCCUAGUGGCUCCCAACCUUUUUGGGAAUGCUUAUAUGUCCAAAUAAUUGCCUCAUGCACAAGUUCAACUUUAUUUUCCUAGCCAAUCUUUCUCAGUGAAUUUUCAAAGUUUCUGUUAGACAGAAGACUUUGUGAAGGAAAUACUAGCUAGGAGUACCCAAAUGAGUUGAACUUUUGCACACUCCUUGAUGUGCUCAUAUUAACCCCUUCCACCCAUUUGCAGCCCCAUCCAAUUAUCUAUGUGAGCACAGGAGCGGUAUUUUAUUCUGGCUAUUUUUAGGUUGUGAAGAAAGUGCAUUUUAUAUUGCUUCAAAAAUACUGAUAAAUUACCAGAUCAUUAUUAUACCCAUAAAACACCUCUCCACCCAUUUUGGCAUCAUUUUAUUCAGCCAUUUGACCACCAAAAUUAUUUCAAGUUUUUGUCCAGAGGAGAUGUUUGUGAAUCAAGUACCAUUUUGGCUUUGCCAAAUGGUAUGAUACUUGGUGAGAAUCUUCAUAUGACCAAAUGACUAAGCUUUGCCCAAUAUUAGCCCAAGCUGACACUCCAUGUGAGUGCACCAUCAUGAUCUAGUUUCUGGACCAUUUUGGUCAGUUUUGAAGCAACUGGAGUAAAUAUUGAUCCAUUUACCCUCAAAACCUCCAGGAUGAAAGUCCUUUGAUAGAUAAACCUCCCAAACAAGCUAUUUACGGAGUUACCUAGCUGGUGUCCCCACUGCACAGCACAAACACUUGGUUGCUGGUUUACUUUGGACCUAAGUGCAAAUCACUUCUUUGCCCCUGGAACGAUUUGUUUCCUCAUUUAUACUUAGGUCACUAGGGUCAAUCUACUGGACAUGGUCGGCCCGGCCAGAACGCGUCGUUUGCACCAGAGCCCGUGGUGAUCAUGCUGGCGUCACGCACAGUGCAAGCUCUGGAUCGGUCCGGCCACUAUGCUCGUCUCCUCCAUCCUCGUCUCGACCUCCAUUCAUGUCCUGGAUAUCCCCCGUGAUGCCAUGCAUCUCCUGCAUCAAUGGCUAGUCGUCCUUCACCUUAAAUGCAUCGCUAGGUCCAUGCCCGUGCCAUGCCCUGCCAUUGUCCUCCAUUAGAGCCCUCCCCCGCGCCUAUAUAAGAAGUGCCCGAGCCCUCCCGCAGGUCCCAAGCCCCUCCUCGUCCCUCCUAUCCAACCGGAGCCCUCGGCCCCCUCUUCUUUUCGCCGGAGUUCGUCUCGGCCGCCUCGAUUCCUCAUCGUUUCCGGCUUUGGUGUUGUCCAUCGUCCUCCCCAUGUCUCCACGAGCCGCCCCAACCCUCUUGCCCUCCCCGGAGUGCCCUGCAUCACUGAGGCCACCACCGUCCGUGCCCUCCCUGCUGCCUCCCGUCGCUGCGGCCUCCUCUCCGUUCCACUCCUCCCCAGUGUCCCCUACUCCUCUGGAUGGGUGCGGCAUUCUUUCCCGAGCUCGCCGGUGCCCUCAUCUCUCCAGGAGACGACCAGAGUUGCCCGAUCCAUCGCUGUUUGCUGUCCUCUGUCACCUCCUCCUGCCGCCUCCCAUCGACGUUCCUGGCCUCCUUGUGCCUCCCUCUGGUCGAGGAUGGGAGCGUCGCGCCGGGCCGCGCCCACCGGUGGCUUCACCCUACCCGGGGAUGGCCGGAGCUGGCUGGCCCCCUCGCCACUCCUCCCCUGCCUCGGAUGCCCCCUGCCUCCUUUGUUCCGCUCGUUAACGAGGAUAGGAGGAAGAAGAUAGGAGCGCUUACCCCCUCCCCAGCCAGUGGGACCCGUGCGUCAGCCUCACGCGUUAACCAAGCCGGCCCCACUUUGAUCCUGCCCCGCCACGUCAGCGUAAGUGGAAACGUAGUUUCCAAAAUACGCUUUCACUUUUUAUGUCCAGGCCCCUGUUUGAAAAUCUUUUCAUUACAGAUAGGUCCCUGGCAGAAAAACAUCCACAACUUUUAAUCCGUAACUCCAAAUGAGGUGAAACCAACGCUCACUUCUUUGUUUCAUCGAGACCGUUCUGUUGGUGAUUCUUUCAUUAUGGUUUGACACUGUGAAAAUGACCAUUAUGCCCUUGCCCUUAUUCAGCCCCCUCCAAGAGAGAAUGAUUUCCGGCAAUUCUUUCCGUGAGCUUCUGACACUUUCUUCCGGUGAUUUAUUCCACCCCAGGCAAGCCACAAUACCCACUUGCAUGAUAGUCAUGCAGUAGCCAUGGUUUUCAACUUGAAUCUUUAUUAAAUGUUUGCUUGUUGAAAAGAUGGUUAUCGUUGUCCCGGUAAUGUUUAGAUUUGCAUGUUCACUUUUGUGCUAUGUUUUCUUGUACUCUGUUAUCAUGUUCUACCUGCUAGUAUUUCCUUUUAUAUGUUUAUGCUUGCUAGUAGUACAUGUUGAUGUUGGUGAUGGUCAUGCUAGUCAGUAUGCCAUGUUCAGUUGAUAUGAUUUAUUGUUGAUAUGGCGGAUAGUUAUGUGAUACCCUCAUGAUUAUGUUGAUAUCA
rnacentral:lncRNA from 1 species